CUUCGGUGACUUGGCCUGUUGGACCAACCUGUUCCCAUUUCGAACACAGUGGUUAAACGACAUGGCGGAGAAAAUACUUUGGGAGAAGUCCCUUGGGAAAAUAUCCUUCGCCGGGGC
rnacentral:rRNA from 1 species